rnacentral:rRNA from 1 species
UACGUAGGGGGCAAGCGUUGUCCGGAUUUAUUGGGCGUAAAGAGCGUGUAGGCGGCCAUGUAGGUCCGGUGUGAAAACUCGAGGCUUAACCUCGAGAUGUCAUCGGAAACCAUUUGGCUAGAGUCCGGAAGAGGAGAGUGGAAUUCCUGGUGUAGCGGUGGAAUGCGCAGAUAUCAGGAGGAACACCAAUAGCGAAGGCAGCUCGCUGGGACGGUACUGACGCUAAGGCGCGAAAGCGUGGGGAGCGAACAGG